UACGUAGGGUGCGAGCGUUAAUCGGAAUUACUGGGCGUAAAGCGUGCGCAGGCGGUUUUGUAAGCCAGAUGUGAAAGCCCCGGGCUUAACCUGGGAAUGGCAUUUGGGACUGCAAGGCUUGAGUGCGGCAGAGGAGACUGGAAUUCCUGGUGUAGCAGUGAAAUGCGUAGAUAUCAGGAGGAAUACCGAUGGCGAAGGCAGGUCUCUGGGCUGACACUGACGCUCAUGCACGAAAGCCAGGGGAGCGAACGGG
rnacentral:rRNA from 1 species